rnacentral:rRNA from 1 species
CCUACGGGUGACAGCAGUGAGGAAUAUUGGUCAAUGGACGCAAGUCUGAACCAGCCAUGCCGCGUGCAGGAAGACGGCUCUAUGAGUUGUAAACUGCUUUUGUACGAGGGUAAACGCAGAUACGCGUAUCUGUCUGAAAGUAUCGUACGAAUAAGGAUCGGCUAACUACGUGCCAGUAGCCGCGGUAAUACGGAGGAUUCAAGCGUUAUCCGGAUUUACUGGGUUUAAAGGGUGCGUAGACGGUCAGAUAAGUUAGAGGUGAAGUCCCGAGGCUCAACUUCGGAACUGCCUCUGAUACUGAUCGGCGAGAGAGUAGGUGCGGUAGGCGGAAUGUAUGGUGUAGCGGUGAAAUGCUUAGAGAUCAUACAGAACACCGAUUGCGAAGGCAGCUUACCAAGCUACUUCUGACGUUGAGGCACGAAAGCGUGGGGAGCAAACAGGAUUAGAUACCCGAGUAGUC